UACGUAGGGGGCUAGCGUUAUCCGGAAUUACUGGGCGUAAAGGGUGCGUAGGUGGUUUCUUAAGUCAGAGGUGAAAGGCUACGGCUCAACCGUAGUAAGCCUUUGAAACUGGGAAACUUGAGUGCAGGAGAGGAGAGUGGAAUUCCUAGUGUAGCGGUGAAAUGCGUAGAUAUUAGGAGGAACACCAGUUGCGAAGGCGGCUCUCUGGACUGUAACUGACACUGAGGCUCGAAAGCGUGGGGAGCAAACAGG
rnacentral:rRNA from 1 species